rnacentral:rRNA from 1 species
GAUGAACGCUGGCGGCGUGCUUAACACAUGCAAGUCGAACGAAGCACUUUAUUUGAUUUCCUUCGGGACUGAUUAUUUUGUGACUGAGUGGCGGACGGGUGAGUAACGCGUGGGUAACCUGCCUUGUACGGGGGGUUACCAGUUGGAAAGGGAUGCUAUUACGGCAUAAGCGCCCAGCAUCGCAUGAUGCAGUGUGAAAAACUCCGGUGGUAUAAGAUGGACCCGCGUUGGAUUAGCUAGUUGGUGAGGUAACGGCCCACCAAGGCGACGAUCCAUAGCCGACCUGAGAGUGUGACCGGCCACAUUGGGACUGAGACACGGCCCAAACUCCUACGGGAGGCAGCAGUGGGGAAUAUUGCACAAUGGGCGAAAGCCUGAUGCAGCGACGCCGCGUGAGCGAAGAAGUAUUUUGGUAUGUAAAGCUCUAUCAGCAGGGAAGAUAAUGACGGUACCUGACUAAGAAGCACCGGCUAAAUACGUG